CCUACGGGAGGCAGCAGUGAGGAAUAUUGGUCAAUGGGCGGGAGCCUGAACCAGCCAAGCCGCGUGAGGGAAGAAGGUACAGCGUAUCGUAAACCUCUUUUGUCAGGGAACAAAGGCGGGGACGAGUCCCCGGAUGAGGGUACCUGAAGAAAAAGCAUCGGCUAACUCCGUGCCAGCAGCCGCGGUAAUACGGAGGAUGCGAGCGUUAUCCGGAUUUAUUGGGUUUAAAGGGUGCGCAGGCGGCCUGGUAAGUCAGCGGUAAAAGCCCGGGGCUCCACCCCGGCGAGCCGUUGAAACUGGCGGGCUGGCGUUGGCGCGACGUACGCGGACUGCGCGUUGUAGCGGUGACCUGCUUAGAUCUCGCGCAGAACCCCGAUUGCGACGGCAGCGUACCGGCUCCACACUGCCGCUGAGGCACGAAAGCGUGGGUAUCGAACAGGAUUAGAUACCCGGGUAGUC
rnacentral:rRNA from 1 species